rnacentral:rRNA from 1 species
GACGAACGCUGGCGGCGUGGAUUAGGCAUGCAAGUCGAACGGUAUCAUCCUUUCGGGGGUGAGAGAGUGGCGAACUGGUGAGUAACACGUAGGUUAUCUACCCUCAAGACGGGGACAACCCAGGGAAACUUGGGCUAAUACCGGAUGUGAGCAACUUUUAGUUGUUUGAAAGGUGGCGUAAGCUGUCGCUUGGGGAUGAGCCUGCGUCCUAUUAGUUAGUUGGUGAGGUAACGGCUCACCUAGGCAAUGAUAGGUAGGCGGCCUUAACGGGUGGUCGCCCACACUGGGAUUGAGAUACGGCCCAGACUCCUACGGGAGGCAGCAGUCGAGAAUAGUCUACAAUGGUCGGAAGACUGAUAGUGCGACGCCGCGUGAACGAUGAAUCCCUUCGGGGUUAAAGUUCUUUUAUAUGUAGCAGUGCUUCUUAUAUUAACAGUUAUGGGGAGAGCGAUAUUAGCAUAUGAAUAAGCAACGGCUAACUCCGUGCCAGCAGCCGACGGUAAAACGUA